rnacentral:misc_RNA from 1 species
AACUUUCAGCAACGGAUCUCUUGGCUCUCGCAUCGAUGAAGAACGCAGCGAAAUGCGAUAAGUAAUGUGAAUUGCAGAUUGUCAGUGAAUCAUCGAAACUUUGAACGCACCUUGCGCUCCUUGGUAUUCCGAGGUGCAUGCCUGUUUGAGUGUCAUUAAAUUCUCAACUUCACCGAUUAGAUUCGAGUGGAAGCUUGGAGUUUGGAGCGUGCUGGCCCUUCCCGGGGUCGGCUCCUCUUUAAAUGCAGCAGCGGAGUCAUCUUUGACCUUGCGGCAUUGGCGUGAUAGUCGUUGUUGCGCCGUUGGCCCAAGGUCUCGGUCCGCUUACAAAAUGGUCUAGGGAUGACUUGGACAAUGAAAUGUUUGUUUGACCUCAAAUCAGGUAGGACUACCCGCUGAACUUAAGCAUAUCAAUAAGCGGAGGCU